GCGUUCUUAGCUGGGACGUCGAGUUCUCCCAGGAUAAUUAUCGACCAGCUGCCAUGUAAGACGUGCCUUUCAGCUUCCACCAUGAUUGUGAGGUCUCUCCAGCCACAUGUAACUGAAGGAGUAGCCACUAUUCAUGCCAUUGUCAAAACCUCAUGGCAACAAAACUUCCAGGGCUGGAAUUGCAAAGAUGAUUACAAAGGGGAGCUCCACAAUCAGCUAGAGUCAGAUGAUUAUAAGUCCCUGGAAUGAUGAUGCCACAAGAUGGAAGGAGUCUAGCUACAUGAUUCAUUGCAUGGGUGUUCCAAGAUAAUGAAUACUUCCAUAGCAACAAAAGUCUGACAAUAAACGGUUACCUUGAUUUUCACAUUUUCAAAGAAAAAUCCCUCAAUGGCAACUAGACCAGAAGUCUCAACACUGAAUAUGCAAUAAUGGCUACAAGGUGAACAGUUUUUCUAUUCCAUUUUCUUAGCAACAUCAUUGAUUGAUUUUCUUGGAAAGGAAGUUAGAUUGGAUUAGAUGAUCUUUUUGUUUCAGUCAUGUAGCUUGUUAUUAGCAAUUAAUAUAUGCAGUAGCUUUUGAAACAACAUAAGUAAUAAGUGACUUCAGUAGAAAUUCAUUAUAUUCUAACACAAAUGAUUUAUAAAUGCAAUUUUAUUUUAAAAUUUCUAUCCUUUCUGUCUCCCUGAUUAUAAUUGUCAAAGUAUUCUGAUAGUAGAAAGUGUGUAUGACUGAAAAAAUGGUAUAAAAUAUUUCAGAUAUAGUA
rnacentral:lncRNA from 1 species